ACCAUGACCUGCAGCUUCUGGUGUGUAUCACCAACAGUAGCUAGCUCGCUACCUAGGAGUGAGUUUGGUCGAUGGUGUCGCUUAACAAGUCCUCAAGUGGACCAAAUUAAGGCUGUUGUGACUUGAACCCAAACAUUCGUAUGGGGGUUAAAGAAACUAUUAUUUUCAGAGAGGCGCAAGGACUUACCUCCAACUACUGUUACUUUGCAGUAAGGCUGCUCGAGCAACAAGCUCCUCUGACAGCUCAUGGAAGAAGAAAUAAUGUUUUUAAGGGAUACGGUGAACAGAAAGCAAGAGGAUGUCUACAAAGAUUCUUUUCAAGUCAGAACUGGGGCCCAGGAGACAUUAUUGUGUUUCCUGCGAUAAUUAAAUGAGCUGCAUGAGGUCCUAC